rnacentral:rRNA from 1 species
AGUGAACGCUGGCGGCAGGCCUAACACAUGCAAGUCGAGCGGCAGCGCGGGGCAACCUGGCGGCGAGCGGCGGACGGGUGAGGAAUGCAUCGGAAUCUACCUAGUUGUGGGGGAUAACGUAGGGAAACUUACGCUAAUACCGCAUACGACCUACGGGUGAAAGAGGGGGACCGCAAGGCCUCACGCGAUUAGAUGAGCCGAUGCCCGAUUAGCUAGUUGGCGGGGUAAAAGCCCACCAAGGCGCCGAUCGGUAGCUGGUCUGAGAGGAUGAUCAACGACACUGGAACUGAGACACGUGCCAGACUCCUACGGGAGACAGCAGUGGGGAAUAUUGGACAGUGGGGGCAACCCUGAUCAAGCCAUGCCGCGUGGGUGAAGAAGGCCUUCGGGUUGUAAAGCACUUUUGUUCGGGAAGAAAAGCCGCCGGUGAAUAUCCGGUGGUGCUGACGGUACCGAAAGAAUAAGCACCGGCUAACUUCGUGCCAGCCGCCGCAGUAAGAC